CGGUAAAACCAGCACCUCAAGUGGUCAGGAUGAUUAUUGGGCCUAAAGCAUCCGUAGCCGGCUCUGUAAGUUUUCGGUUAAAUCUGUAUGCUCAACAUACAGGCUGCCGGGAAUACUGCAGAGCUAGGGAGUGGGAGAGGUAGACGGUACUCGGUAGGAAGGGGUAAAAUCCUUUGAUCUAUUGAUGACCACCUGUGGCGAAGGCGGUCUACCAGAACACGUCCGACGGUGAGGGAUGAAAGCUGGGGGAGCAAACCGGAUUAGAUACCCGGGUAGUCCCAGCUGUAAACUAUGCAAACUCAGUGAUGCAUUGGCUUGUGGCCAAUGCAGUGCUGCAGGGAAGCCGUUAAGUUUGCCGCCUGGGAAGUACGUACGCAA
rnacentral:rRNA from 1 species